UCCUGCGCAGAGGCCUACGGAGGGCAGCAGUGGGGAAUAUGCCACAAUGGGCGCAAGCCUGAUGCAGGGACACCGCGUGAGGGAUGACGGCCUUCGCUUUGUAAACCUCUUUCAGCACAGGAUUAUGUAAAAGUGACGGUAGGUCCAGAAGAAGCACCGGCCAACUACGUGCCAGCAGCCGCGGUAAUACGUAGGGUGCGAGCGUUGUCCGGAAUUACUGGGCGUAAAGAGCUCGUAGGUGGUUUGUCGCGUUGUUCGUGAAAUCUCACAGCUUAACUGUGAGCGUGCAGGCGAUACGGGCAGACUAGAGUACUGCAGGGGAGACUGGAAUUCCUGGUGCAGCGGUGGAAUGCGCAGAGUCAGGAGGAACAACCAGUGGCGAAGGCGGCUCUCUGGGCGUAACUGACGCUGAGGAUGAAAGCGUGGGUAGCGAACGUGAUUAGAUACCCUGAUAGA
rnacentral:rRNA from 1 species